rnacentral:rRNA from 1 species
AGUGAACGCUGGCGGUAGGCCUAACACAUGCAAGUCGAACGGCAGCACAGUAAGAGCUUGCUCUUACGGGUGGCGAGUGGCGGACGGGUGAGGAAUACAUCGGAAUCUACUUUUUCGUGGGGGAUAACGUAGGGAAACUUACGCUAAUACCGCAUACGACCUACGGGUGAAAGCAGGGGAUCUUCGGACCUUGCGCGAUUGAAUGAGUCGAUGUCGGAUUAGCUAGUUGGCGGGGUAAAGGCCCACCAAGGCGACGAUCCGUAGCUGGUCUGAGAGGAUGAUCAGCCACACUGGAACUGAGACACGGUCCAGACUCCUACGGGAGGCAGCAGUGGGGAAUAUUGGACAAUGGGCGCAAGCCUGAUCCAGCCAUACCGCGUGGGUGAAGAAGGCCUUCGGGUUGUAAAGCCCUUUUGUUGGGAAAGAAAAGCAGCAGAUUAAUACCCCGCUGUUCUGACGGUACCCAAAGAAUAAGCACCGGCUAACUUCGUG